GGGAAAAUUGAUUUUAGAGCUUAUGAGGAUCUCCAGACCAUGUUAAAGCUUCAUAAGCUCCCUCACCAUGCUGGCACAAGCACUCUUUAUUUCUGCUGAUUUGAAGUCUUUUUGAGAACUGAUAUUGAUGACAUGAAGAUAUGCUAUGUUUUACGAGCGGGUGACAAUGCUACCAGUGACAUCUUUCACUUCACAGUUGAAGACAGCGGACAAGAAGAUAGUGUAGUGCGUUGGCUGCUGCAGAGUUAGCUGUGCCAGGUUUUGAAAGAAUUGAUUGAAUCAACAUAUCAUAUCGUAUCAACAAUUUACUUUCUGCUCUGUGUCAAAUUUCGAUCUAAAAAUGACCAAUGGAGACCUGCUGAUACUGAAGUGUUGAGUUCAUUUUAGCAAAACUUGGAAAAAAGUGUGGAUUUUUGUAUUUUUCACAAGAGUUGCAAAGUAAUCUUUGUUUAACUGCUUUAAUGAGAAAUGAUUUCCACAUUCCAUUUACGAGGUGGAAAAAGAAACUCUUAGCAAAUGCAAGCAUAUGGCAAUGGUGAAUCCUGAUGUUUAAAUUACAAAAUUCUUAAUUUGGUGAUUAAUAAAGGAAUCAAUGCUAACAAUCAACAGGAGAAGUAGAAUAUCUUCUGGUGGGGAAGUAAGAAAUGAAAAUCCAGAAUGAUAGUCAAGCUCUUGGAUGUAUUUGAAUGCGAAGUUGUGCACUAUAUGUGCUAUGUUUCAAACAAUGUGAAAUUAUUUGAAGGGGUUUAAGGCAAUUUUUUGUCAGAUUCUGUUGAUGCUGUGGAAUAAAACAAAUGUAUCCUCAGGCUUGCACUAAACUCAAAUGGUAGCUCAGACCCAAGAACCCAGAUUUUGACAUUCCAGAUAUGGUAUUGCCAGAGGCCGAUGUAUUCCCUUGCCCACGGGCAGCUAGCUAGCAGUGAAUAUUGAGACUGGGAUA
rnacentral:lncRNA from 1 species